AGCUCCAAUAGCGUAUAUUUAAGUUGUUGCAGUUAAAAAGCUCGUAGUUGGAUUUCGGGUGGGUUCUAGCGGUCCGCCUAUGGUGAGUACUGCUAUGGCCUUCCUUUCUGUCGGGGACGGGCUUCUGGGCUUAACUGUCCGGGACUCGGAGUCGACGUGGUUACUUUGAGUAAAUUAGAGUGUUCAAAGCAGGCUUACGCCCUGAAUACUUUAGCAUGGAAUAACACGAUAGGACUCUGGCCUAUCUUGUUGGUCUGUAGGACUGGAGUAAUGAUUAAGAGGGACAGUCGGGGGCAUUCGUAUUUCAUUGUCAGAGGUGAAAUUCUUGGAUUUAUGAAAGACGAACUACUGCGAAAGCAUUUGCCAAGGAUGUUUUCA
rnacentral:rRNA from 1 species